UACGUAGGUGGCAAGCGUUGUCCGGAUUUACUGGGCGUAAAGCGCGUGUAGGCGGAUGUCUAAGUACCUUGUGAAAUCCCACGGCUCAACCGUGGAACUGCUUGGUAUACUGGAUGUCUUGAGGUGCUCAGGGGCGAGCGGAACAGACGGUGGAGCGGUGAAAUGCGGUAGAUAUCGUCGGAACGCCAAUGGUGAAGACGAGCUC
rnacentral:rRNA from 1 species